rnacentral:rRNA from 1 species
AUUGAACGCUGGCGGCAGGCCUAACACAUGCAAGUCGAACGGUAACAGGAAGCAGCUUGCUGCUUCGCUGACGAGUGGCGGACGGGUGAGUAAUGUCUGGGAAACUGCCUGAUGGAGGGGGAUAACUACUGGAAACGGUAGCUAAUACCGCAUAACGUCGCAAGACCAAAGAGGGGGACCUUCGGGCCUCUUGCCAUCGGAUGUGCCCAGAUGGGAUUAGCUAGUAGGUGGGGUAACGGCUCACCGAGGCGACGAUCCCUAGCUGGUCUGAGAGGAUGACCAGCCACACUGGAACUGAGACACGGACCAGACUCCUACGGGAGGCAGCAGUGGGGAAUAUUGCACAAUGGGCGCAAGCCUGAUGCAGCCAUGCCGCGUGUAUGAAGAGGGCCUUCGGGUUGUAAAGUACUUUCAGCGGGGAGGAAGGCGAUAAGGUUAAUAACCUUGUCGAUUGACGUUACCCGCAGAAGAAGCACCGGCUAACUCCGUGCCAGCCGCCGCGGUAA